CCGUGCAUCGAAUUGAGCUGAGAUUUGGCGGUUUUGGAGUCCAUUACUGGCCGACCAGGGUCAAGGUGAUCUUUUUUUGAAUAGUGGGUCCCAUACACGUGCAACCGGAAUCACACGCACGUGCGUCUGGGCCAUUGCUGCUAUCCACACGUGCGGUACUUCUUUGGUUCGUCUCUCUCCUCUUUUUCACUCCUCUUUCACCUAAAAUCCUUAAACCUAACCUUAAAUUACUCGAAUCCCCAAUUUUGUGCCCUUUCUUCAACCUUAGGGUUCCCCGAAUUGAAAUUUCUGAAUCCCUUGGAUUGAGGGAAUUAUUUAUGUGCAUAUGCGGAUGAAUUUACUCUCAUUUGAUUCUUGUUUGGUCUAUAAUUUUGAUUGAUCCUGCCCUAACAUGUGUAGGCCUAGAUCCGCAUAAAAUUCCCCUUAAUUGAGUGUUUGAACUUUUGUGUGGGAUGUGGAAUUGUGUAAUUAUUUUUAAACUAGUGUGAUCUAAAGCUUGAGAAUCUUGCACGUCAUACUUGAAUUUCAUGUCUUGCAUCAGUCCAGGAUUACUCGGUGAGGGUGAUCGAAGACGAGAUAUCGUGGAGGCAGAAUUCUAGAAGUAAAUGGAUAAAGGAAGGAGACAAAAAUACCAAAUAUUUUCAUUCUCUAGCUAGCACGCUAGCCAGAAAGAACAAGAUCAGAAGUCUGUUGGUGCAUGGAGUGCGUAUUGAAGACAAACAUCUUAUAUCAGAGGAGGCUAUUUCUUUUUUCAGAAAACUCCUUCAGGCAUAUGACUGGCGCAGACCAAAUCUGGACUUUCUCUCAUUUAUGCGUAUUUCCGACCUGGAAGCUUCAUUCCUUGAAUCUGAGUUUACAAUAGAAGAGGUUAAGGAUGCGGUGCAGGCGUUGGGAGGAGACAAGACCCCCGGUCCUGAUGGGUUUUCGAUUCUGUUUUUUCAGCAUUUUUGGAAAAUUAUUUAGGGAGACUUGAUGGCCUUUAUCAAGGAAUUUCACGAUAAAGGUAGGUUGUCGAGAUCGAUGGGGGCAUCCUUUAUUGUGCUUAUCCCUAAAAUUCAGCAGAAUCUUUGCAUGACUUUAAAUCGAUCAGUCUCCUUGGUGGGCCCUACAAAAUUCUGGCCAAAGUUCUAGCUUCUCGGUUGAAGGGGGUCUUAAGCAAGAUUAUAUCUCAUAAUCAAAGUGCGUUUAUCUCGGGUAGGCAAAUCACUGACAGUGCCCUCAUUGCUUUUGAAUGUCUAGACUCGAGUCAUAAAUCUGGAUCCAAGGGCCUCUUAUGCAGACUUGAUUUAGCGAAGGCUUACGAUCAUGUCGAUUGGAAUUUUCUUCAAUAUAUGCUUCAUAGGAUGGGUUUCGGGAUCAAAUGGGUGUCUUGGAUGAAGGAAUGUAUCAGGUUAGUGUUCUUCUCGAUUCUUAUAAACGAGUCCCCCAAAGGUUUCUUUCAGAGUUCAAGGGGUCUGCGGCAGGGAGAUCCGUUAUCCCCCUUUUUAUUCCUUAUCGUGGGAGAGGCCCUUUCAAGUAUAUUGAGCAAAGGCCAGGCGGAAGGCAUUAUCGGUGGCUUCAAGGUGAAAGGCAUGGACUCCCCUAUAUCUCGCAUUUAAUUCGCAGACAAUACUCUUCUUUUUUGUGAGGCAGAUCUCAACAAAGUAAUCUCCGUACCUCUAUCCGUUGUUUCGAAGCGGUUUUGGGCCUUAAAGUGAAUCUGAGAAAGUCAAGGAUGUUUGGCGUCAAUCUGGAUGAAGCUGAAUCUAGAGUUUUCUGAUUAUUUCGACUGUGUGUUGGGAUCUCUCCGGACCACCUUUGUUGGGCUCCCUUUAUGCGUAGGUAAACCUUCGUUGGUUUUAUGGGAUAAAGUAAUCGAUAGGUUUGAAUCAUAUUUAGCCAAGUGGAAAUGCAGAUAUUUAUCUUUAGGAGGUCGUCUUACUUUGAUUAAAGCGGCGCUCUCUAAUCUUCCCCUAUAUUUUAUAUCUCUAUUCAAAUGUCCGGCUAAGAUUCUCGUUAUAUUAGAAAGACUGAGACAUGACUUUCUUUGGCAAGGGAUGGAAGAAAAGAAGAAAUUUCAUUUGGUCAAUUGGAAAGAGGUUUGUCAGCAAUAUCAAGGAGGAGCUGGUGUUAGAAACCUUAAAGUUAUGAAUCAUGCCCUGCUAGGCAAGUGGUGGUGGAGACUUGGGAUAGAAAAUGGGGCUCUAUGAAAUAUUCUGAUCAAAUGCAAAUAUGGGCGCACGUCUGAAGGUUGGUGGUCUAAGGACUCUUCUUCCUAUAGAGCCUCUGCUCUAUGGAGAGGUGUGUUAUGUUCUAAUAAGGAAGUUCGCAGGAGUAUUGGUCAUUCUAUAGGCAAAGGAGAUAAAACCAGAUUUUGGGAAGAUAUCUGGGUAGGUUAUUCGGUUUUGAAAGAUGAUUUCCCCUCGAUAUAUCGUUUGGCUCCCAUCUCAUCCAUUGCGGUUGUUGAUUGCUACUCAAUCCAUGGUAAUGACGUUGUCUGGCAUCCCCCAUGUGGAAGGAACUUUCAUGACUGGGAAAUUGGAGAAUUUACUGCAUUACUUGAUCAUAUUGGUUAAUGUAAUCCAGAUAUUCUUCAAAAUGAUAGGCUUGUUUGGAGACCUGACAAAAAGGGGUUAUUUUCAGUGAAAUCCCUAUAUCUCUGUAUUGGCAGGAAAUCAGUUUUAACCGACGAGGUGAUGAUAGCUAAAGUGUGGAAAUAUAAAGUGCCUCCCAAGAUUGCAGUUUUCAGAUGGUUAGUGGGGAAGAGGAAAGUCCUUACAGUUGACAGUCUAAGAAAAAGGGGAAUGAUUAUCUCCAAUAUUUGUAUCUGCUGUAUGGCAAAUGAAGAAACAAUAGACCAUCUAUUCAUUCGCUGUCCUUUCUUCCAUCAGGUAUGGUCAGUCCUGCUUUCUUCGUUCGCGAUCUCCUGGACUUUCCCUCACUCUACGGAUCAUCUUCUCUCAGCCUGGCAUGGUGUCUCCCCGGGUAAAGAUAUUUCUCUGGUUUGGAGAAUGUCUCUUUUAGCUGUUUGGUGGGCAGUUUGGGAAGAAAGAAAUAGUAGGUGUUUUAGAGAUGUUUCCAAGUUGGUGGACUUCAUAGUCAAGAGAGUGCAUCAAUUUAUCAUUGAAUGGGCCUGUAGUAUGGUUAAUUUGUCAAGUUGUAAUUUUUCUCUUUUUUAAAGGGUGUUUGGCCUGCCUUCUCAGCGGGCUUUUCCCCUUCUUAUUCUCCCUUUCCUUUUAAUGAAUUCUUCAGUUAAUUCUUAAAAAAAAAAAAUCUUGUUCACAGCUGCACUCAUCAAAGAAGCGUUACUGUUGAAGAUCCUGCCAUUCCUUUCAAUCUAAAUAGACCAAAGCAAAGCUUGCACCACCAUACUCCGCAGAAGACGCCUGAUGGAACCCCAAGCCGAAGCUGAUCAGCCCUCAGUCAGCUCGAAAACAGAUUUUGGAAAACCCACUCGUGCCGAAUUUGGCAAUGACUGCUUGCCCAAACGUCUUCAACAAACUAAUAGUGGAUAAGGAGGUGGUCAAACAGUUCUUCAUUAACAUAGCACAUGAAGCACCUAUUUAGAGUUGCAGUCCCUCUGUGCUUGAGAUGAUCAACAAUUAAGAUCUUAAGGCUAGCCACAGUAAGGCUUUAAUCUUAAGAAGAAUAGUUGCUGACCAAAUCCUCUUAUAUGACAAUGAUCUACAAGAAUCACCUUCAGACAACACCAGGUAAAGAGAAUUGACUGAAGAUAGUGCAUCUGUUGUGAGGCCUAGAUAUGCCUAUCCUAGGGAUAUAAACCCCCUGUAAGGUAUCCAACGGACUUGCAAGAUUGUUGAUUGCUUCAUCUUUUAAAUUCUAUCUGAAGAAGUGCUCCUGAAUAAUUUGCCACCCAACCUCUGAAAGAAUUGAUCAACUGCAGUGCCUUUAUUGAUAGAUAGGACAUAUAUCAACUCAAAAGAUUCACUUAACGACAUGUCCGAGCAUCACAAGUCUUCCUAAAGAUGCAGUCUAUUUCUUUUGCUAACUCUGUGUCAGAAGUGGUUAAAAUUGAAAAAACUGAGCCUAUGAAAUUGCUUGCAAUAUAUUAUAACCAGCCAUGCAAGAAGCACAAUUGACGUCCCAUGGCCACCAAUUACUAACGCAGGACAACUAACCACUCGGUCUAAAAGCUCGAACUGAUAGAGCAUGGCAAAUCAAUCCCAUUUUCUCAUAGCGCAGGCCCCACAUCUCAUGGGUUAGGACCUUGGCCGAACCCUCCUCGUAGGCCCCACAUCAUAUGGGUACCGCCUCACACGGGCCGCCCACUCUGAGUUUGCUCCUGCAUCCCACAGGCCACCCCACUCGAGCCCGGUGUGAAAAUGCCCCUACAUUAAUUAGUGAUUUCAUUACCUGCAUCACAAUGUCAAAGAACCGUCUCUCUCAAACAAACCAAUGUUGGCUGGAUGCAACCAGGAAAAAAGAAAAGAAAAGAAAAGAUAACACACAGCUUCCUAAACGGUACAAGGGUAAUCUUAAUUCCAUGGGCAAAUCUUCGAGACAAUCUCUAUUAAAGUAACGUGAUGGCUAAAUCAAUGGACACUCCCUACUAAAUACAUAGGUGAAACUGUACUUUGGUUGGAGGUACUCCCAACAUUGGGACUAAGCAGUAUUAGUAAGUGACUAAUGGCAGCAAUACAGAUUCAUCGAUAGAGGCCAACAACCUUCUAGGGUUCCCAAAACGCCUAGAAAAAAGAAGAAAAUAACCUGAUCUCUUUAUGCUUAGAGAUUGAACAAGUGCAUCAAGACUCAAUUCCUGGCAAUACUGUUUGAUCCCAUUUUAUCCUCUGGUUACAUUGUACUUUUUAUGCCCACACAUAUCUAAUGCCACUGGCCUUUCAGUCUUAUUUAUGAUGCAUUGACGGUCUUGGUACUUCUGCAGUAUUGUUGUAGCAAGAACCAUUGCUUCUAAGAUUUAUAGAUGUCAGUUCUCCAGACUGCAGAAGCUUCCAGGCAACCUACUUUCUACCACAUGUGGUGGCGCAGGUGGUGAAUUGGGACUGUCCAUCUAGGGUUUCUGUAGUGGAUGGACUGCAGCUCAAAACUGCACAGCUCAGAUGACCCAAUCCCAUUCAUGGCUAACUGAGACUGUUCAUCUAUUUUUGGUAUUUUCCCAUUAAGUUGCACUAACAAUCUGAUUGCUAAGAUCUUCUGAUCAAUGUGUUAUUCACCAUCCAUGUUGCUAUAUUUACGGUGUUGUUUAUGUCAAGUAAGCUCAGUGGAGACGACUCCACUGUGAAUCAAGUCCCACUUCUGUGGUACUCUUACCCUAUAAUAUUAACUGGAAUU